AUUGUGACAUGAAUUUAUUGUGUCCAAUAGUAUCUCCAAGUUAUAAAACUAGUUAUUUUAGCGAAAGCACCAUUUUCUAAUGUACAGUCUAGACGAUAUAAAGUAUCCGCGCUCAAGAACAUAAACCGGACAGCGGACCCUACGUCCAAAAUUUAAUGAAACAAAGCCUCUCCUACCCUCCGGUGAAUUAUAGACGAAUAAAAUAUUGGUGACAAGAAAGAAAAAGUAACGGCCCCUAAAGGGGCCGAGGGACGUCGCACCAGAUUUUAUUACGCGAGACACAAAGGACGACCCGCCACGCCAUGGCCCUCUUGAAAUAAAAAAAAAUGCAGUGACAUGAAAAAUGCCCUUCGUGAUAGGUGAAAUGAAAAGGCAGAGAACGUCCUUUCCUGCAGAUAUGAGGUUUGUGAGCAAAGCUGCUUACGUCUGCGAAAAAUGUCAAGUCCCUAUUCAAGCGAGUUGGAUACGGUAAAGUCAGAGUUCAAGCAACCUUCAAGACGUCUAACGGCUUACACAAAUUUAAUAUCAGACUGUUCAUCACGGUCCAUUCGUAUUCAAAUUAAUUCUGAAGCGGGGCUGGAGAUGUGGGUAAAAUUGUACAUGCUAAGUGUUACUACUAUGUGGCAAUGUUGAAGUGAAAUAUUUAGAGACGUUUUAAUUUUGGUGUCGUGAUUUAUAAGUAUACAAUAUACAUGUCUUAUAUUAUCGUAAUAUAAAUAUAUGCGCCAUAAGCUAUAUACACGGUGGCUAAAAAAUUAACUGCAUUCCCGUUGCCAGGGAGGUUUUGGGAUUUUACUGAGCAACUUUUACUAUGGGACCACCUUUCGAGGUUGGCCUCGAAAUCGCGAAAAAUAAUUUACCCUCCCAUAGAAAAUGGAUCAGCCAAAAUGUAUGAAACAGCCAAAUUUUUUUUUCGCGAUUUUGGGGUUGGUCUCAUAGUAAAAUUU